UGGGGAAUAUUGGACAAUGGGCGAAAGCCUGACGCAGCCAUGCCGCGUGAAUGACGAAGGCCUUAGGGUUGUAAAACUCUUUCGUCGGGGACGAUAAUGACGGUACCCGAAGAAGAAGCUCCGGCUAACUUCGUGCCAGCAGCCGCGGUAAUACGAAGGGAGCUAGCGUUGUUCGGAAUCACUGGGCGUAAAGCGCACGUAGGCGGAUAGUUAAGUCAGGGGUGAAAUCCUGGGGCUCAACCCCAGAACUGCCUUUGAUACUGGCUGUCUCGAGGUCGAGAGAGGUUGGUGGAAUUCCUAGUGUAGAGGUGAAAUUCGUAGAUAUUAGGAAGAACACCAGUGGCGAAGGCGGCCAACUGGCUCGAUACUGACGCUGAGGUGCGAAAGCGUGGGGAGCAAACAGGAUUAGAUACCCGUGUAGUCCCUGAGCGGGCUGGCAAGGCGCAU
rnacentral:rRNA from 1 species